GACUGUAUAGCUCAGAGGCAGAGCGGCUCCCUGUUAAGGAGAAGGUCGGGAUUUCGAAAUUCCCUACGGUCGC
rnacentral:tRNA from 1 species